UGCUAUACGUGCACAAAUAACACAAAAUGCGACCGGGUGCAAAUCUGCGAUUCGGAUAACUACACAACCUGUGCUAUCGGGGAAGUUUGCUGGACAGUUCGCUACAAUAACUUCAACACCAGCCACAUCUACCACGAAAGGAAGUGCGGGCCAGCCUGUGACAGUACGUAUACUGAGGAGUACUGUAAAACAGCCAACAACAUGCAGGAAUGUGCUCAAUGCUGCUCGUCGAUAAAAUGCAACAUGAUGCCGCUUACCGGAAUGAGCGGGGCUAAUCACGUGACACCAAGCAUCCUCACAGCGGCGGCCAUUUUGUUUUUCAUGCUCGUACGGUGAAGAUGGUGAAUUCCCGAUAGAAAAAUGACAUUCAGCGAGAUGCACCGUCAUCGCAAAGGAGGCGAGACAAGGACUGGUUCGAAAUCCGUGCGCUUAGAAACCGCAGUUGAGGAACUUAACAGUUUCGCAAUUUGCGUGAACGGGGUUUCGUUGUCGUUGUCCAAUGCCAAAACUGGGACGGCCCGGCCGCCAUGUUUCUUUAUUUACAUCUUGUGACGACAGAGCACAAGUUAGCAUCAACGGAUAAAGUGAAUGUAGAAAUAAAUAGCGCGAAUGAGAUGAAUGAGAACGUAUUGAGUGAAAAUUCAGGUAUUUUUGAUUGGUAUGGGAAGCAGGUGAUGAGAAUGAUUGUGUUGCAUGUUUUGUAGUGUGAGGGAUGUAUCAUAAUGACAUAUCGUUGGUCAUGUGAGACUGUAUGGCCACACCCGUGGUGAAUGCGAUCAAUCGAAUGUGGAAGAAACUGGCGCGAUUGAUGCGAAAAUUGUUGUAUGAGAGCAUCUAUCGAAAUGUACAUAUUGUAUAUAGUAUUUGACUCUUAAAAAUUCAGAAUAUCCGAGGAAUCAUUUUCUGCACGCUGAAAUGUUAGAGAGCUGACAUGCACGAACGUCAUCCGUUCUGUCAACGCACGCGGGGGAAAUAUCAACAACUUUUACGAUGCAAUGCGCCCAAACAAAUCCUUUGUCGCAUGCGUCGACAAAUCGGAUAUUAAAACGUGUACAAGCAUGAGGCAAAUUUGUGGAGCAAUCUUUAACAUGUAUAUACAUGU